rnacentral:snRNA from 1 species
UUAGUAUCUCAGCCUUUUGGCUAAGAUUAAAUGUAGCACUUUUUGGCAUCAAGGGAAUGGUGUCUGGGCUGGCUUUGGCCUUCCUGGCCUUGGCCAGGUAUUGCACUACUUCCAGGUUCGGUGCCAGUUCC